rnacentral:rRNA from 1 species
UGCGUCGGAACGUACCGAGUAAUGGGGGAUAACGCGGCGAAAGUCGCGCUAAUACCGCAUACGCCCUGAGGGGGAAAGCAGGGGAUCGCAAGACCUUGCGUUAUUCGAGCGGCCGACGUCUGAUUAGCUUGUUGGUGAGGUAAAGGCUCACCAAGGCGACGAUCAGUAGCGGGUCUGAGAGGAUGAUCCGCCACACUGGGACUGAGACACGGCCCAGACUCCUACGGGAGGCAGCAGUGGGGAAUUUUGGACAAUGGGCGCAAGCCUGAUCCAGCCAUGCCGCGUGAGUGAAGAAGGCCUUCGGGUUGUAAACCGCUUUCAGACGGAAAGAAAUCGCCAGGGCUAAUACCUCUGGUGGAUGACGGUACCGUCAGAAGAAGCACCGGCUAACUACGUG